rnacentral:rRNA from 1 species
UACGUAGGGGGCAAGCGUUGUCCGGAAUCAUUGGGCGUAAAGCGCGUGUAGGCGGCCCGGUAAGUCCGCUGUGAAAGUCCAGGGCUCAACCCUGGAAAGCCGGUGGAUACUGCCGGGCUAGAGUCCGGAAGAGGCGAGUGGAAUUCCUGGUGUAGCGGUGGAAUGCGCAGAUAUCGGGAGGAACACCGGUGGCGAAGGCGGUUCUCUGGGCCUGUGCUGACGCUGAGGAGCGAAAGCGUGGGGAGCGAACAGG